rnacentral:rRNA from 1 species
UACGUAGGGGGCGAGCGUUAUCCGGAUUCACUGGGUGUAAAGGGAGCGUAGACGGCCAUGCAAGCCAGGGGUGAAAGCCCGGGGCCCAACCCCGGGACUGCCCUUGGAACUGCAUGGCUGGAGUGCGGGAGGGGCAGGCGGAACUCCUGGUGUAGCGGUGAAAUGCGUAGAUAUCAGGAGGAACACCGGCGGCGAAGGCGGCCUGCUGGACCGCGACUGACGUUGAGGCUCGAAAGCGUGGGGAGCGAACAGG